rnacentral:rRNA from 1 species
AGUAGUGUAUGCUUCUCCUAAAGACUAAGCCAUGCAUGCCCCGAAUAAGAGGAAUCACUUCUCUCUGAAUCUGCGAACGGCUCCGCAAACCAGUUGUAAACUAGAGCAAGCUAGCCUGGCGGGCUUCGGCCUCCAGGCGAUAUGGAUAACCCUGGUAAUUCUGAGGCUAAUACAGGACCGCAAAACCGGGCAGCCCAGCAAUGGAUGCCCGGGGAUGUGCGAUAUGGCUUGACAAUGACCGGGAAAGGACGCACACUCUGACCGCGCUACAAAGGAUCGGGACUCCCCUCGGGGAACCUGGCCCCAGCGGCUCUUGCUGUGUGCUUCUGACCUAUCAACUAGACGGCAGCGUAAUGGACAUGCUAUGGUGACAACGGGUACAGAGGAUUAGGGUUCGAUCCUGGAGAGUGGGCCUGAGAGAUUGCUCAUACUUCUAAGGAAGGCAGCAGGCGCGCAACGUUCCCCUUGGGCAAUGCCCGAGGGCGUUAGGGGACAUAUGAAUGCCUGCCCAUUGGGUGGGCAAUUCAAAUGGGUCUGUUGUAAACAGGCUC